rnacentral:rRNA from 1 species
UACGUAGGUGGCAAGCGUUAUCCGGAAUUAUUGGGCGUAAAGAGGGAGCAGGCGGCAGCAAGGGUCUGUGGUGAAAGCCUGAAGCUUAACUUCAGUAAGCCAUAGAAACCAGGCAGCUAGAGUGCAGGAGAGGAUCGUGGAAUUCCAUGUGUAGCGGUGAAAUGCGUAGAUAUAUGGAGGAACACCAGUGGCGAAGGCGACGAUCUGGCCUGCAACUGACGCUCAGUCCCGAAAGCGUGGGGAGCAAAUAGGAUUAGAUACCCUAGUAGUCCACGCCGUAAACGAUGAGUACUAAGUGUUGGAUGUCAAAGUUCAGUGCUGCAGUUAACGCAAUAAGUACUCCGCCUGAGUAGUACGUUCGCAAGAAUGAAACUCAAAGGAAUUGACGGGGGCCCGCACAAGCGGUGGAGCAUGUGGUUUAAUUCGAAGCAACGCGAAGAACCUUACCAGGUCUUGACAUACUCAUAAAGGCUCCAGAGAUGGAGAGAUAGCUAUAUGAGAUACAGGUGGUGCAUGG